rnacentral:misc_RNA from 1 species
AUGCGAUACGUAAUGUGAAUUGCAGAAUUCCGUGAAUCAUCGAAUCUUUGAACGUAAAUUGCACUUCUCAGUAAUCUGGGAAGUAUGCUUGGUUGAGGGUCAUGAUAAUAACAUUCGUGAAUUUUUGCGGAUUUGAGUUUUCCAGUAUUUGUAAUAUAAAUAAAUGUUGGUGACUUUAAAAUUAUUUAUUACUUGGUACAAGUUGAAAACGUACUAUAUGUGUGGUUCGCUGACAACUUGUCCAUCUUCAUAUAUUAUGCGCGCACUUGAUUUCACAUUUUUGUGCGAGUAUAUAUUUUUUUUAUGACCUCAGCUCAAGUAAGAACACCCGCUGAACUUAA